rnacentral:lncRNA from 8 species
CUGUCCACUGUCCUAUCCUAUCUUAAUCUGCUUUUCCUUUUCCUCAGGCUCAGUGCCCGCCCCUGAGUCUUUGAUUGGCGCUCUUUCCCAAACUGAGCCCCGCCCAUCGCCCCACCAGGCCUGACUCUGCCCUCUGAGGGAAUGAGGAUGGGACUGAAGGGGACAGAGAGCAGGCAUCUGGAGAAGAUCCCAGAGAACGAGGAUCUGUCCGGCCUGUCGGACGAGAGCCCUGGUCCGAUGACAUCAGAGUUGAGUGAUGUCACUGAGCCAGGUCAGGAUGAUGAGUCAGAGGAGCAGCCUCCAGGGUCCUGAAGGGGAGACGCCACUCAACAGGCCAGGUCAUGAGGAUUACGACUAUGAGAUUAAGAAACUGCUGGCAACCAAAGGUGAGACCUUUUCAAUGUUUGAUGCUUCUGCCUUGUGUGAACAGUAGCCCAGCAGGUCUCAUUAACAACAUCCCCUUGGUUUAUCCAGGGUUCUGUCACACAAAAGUCCUAUUUUCGGACUUGUAGAAGAGUCCCACUAAAAGGGACCCAUUUUAGUGCUGCGCCAGUCCAGCAUUGCAAAUCAGAGGACUCAUUUAGCAACUGCACCUGGCCAAAUUAGUGGCAUGUCAUUGGGAUAUGUCACUUGCCACUGUCUGCUAUUGAGAGACAAGGCAGCUCUUGUUUGUUAUUCAAAUCAUUGAUGGAGGGAACACAUUUAUGUGGGACUAUGAACCAGAGCGUUGAUAGAGGAGACCCAUUUAUGUGGGACUAUGAACCAGAGCAUUGAUAGAGGAGACCCAUUUAUAUGCUGCACAUUGCCAGAGAGGUGAUGGAGGGGACCCACUUAUGGGUUGCACCGUGCCAAAGUUAUAAUUAAGGAGCAUUACUACUCCCACUGAUUUUACACAUUGGUGCCAGAUACACACACACACGCACACACACACAAAGACUCUUUCUCAGUUAUAUAUUUAGUCACAUAGUUUUGUUACACAUCAGACACUCGUGUAUGAAUUCUAUGCUUAUGAGAUUCUUCGCAAAGCAUUCUGUAUCAAACACUGUUCUCUAUCCAUCUAUCUGCAUUAUUCACCUGACAACAACAACAUGCCAAUUAAACCACUGCCUGUCUGUUUGUGAGUGAUUUAUAGUAACUUUGUCUGCAUGUUUUUUGGGGAAUGUGUGUGUUUGUUUUUGUAUGGAUAGCUGAUCUGUCUAUGUGAGCGUUUACACAUGUAAUCUAAAUCUGAUAUUUUGCCAAUUAUUUGUCUCGUGACCAGUCAGAUCAGAAUUUCCCCAAUUGGACUGUAUAAACGCAGCAAAAUAUCUGAAUUGUGUUGCCUAUGUAAACGCAGCCUGUGUGUGUGUGUGUGAUGUAUCUGUACUCUCUCAGCCAUGCAGAGGAAGUCGGUGUGUGUGUGUGUGUGUGUGUGUGUGUGUGAUGUAUCUGUACUCUCUCAGCCAUGCAGAGGAAGUCGGUGGUUGGCUAAGUCCAUUCCUGCGGAGGCCGUCAAGGAGCUACACAACAUCAGCCGACACAGCUACUAACCCUACCUGGCAAACACUGGACAACUACAACAGGUAGUGCAACAUGUACUGCAACAGGCUGGACCUGUCCUCUCAGUCUCCCCCCAGACAGGGUUUAUUACAAGCCAUUGAGAAGCUGCCCUCUCUGAAUGCUCUGUGGCCAGUCAGUGAACACCAUGCUCAUUUGGAUUAAUAGAUACAGUCUGAUCAUUUCUGGGUUGUUUUGCGUGAGGGAAUUUAGGAGUCAGUGUGAGCGUUUCACCUAAGCGCCUGAUUAUUUGUAGCGAGCUAGGAAAGGCGUUGAGCUGGGUGAGAGCUUGUUUAUUAAUAUGAUUAUUCUCAGUGCUGCUUGGCUCGAUUGGUAUUCCUGCCCUGAGAAAAACAGAGUGGAGGAGAGAAACUGUGAGCACCAAUUACCACCC